rnacentral:rRNA from 1 species
GACGAACGCUAGCGGCGUGCCUAAUACAUGCAAGUAGAACGCUGAAGGAGGAGCUUGCUUCUCUGGAUGAGUUGCGAACGGGUGAGUAACGCGUAGGUAACCUGCCUGGUAGCGGGGGAUAACUAUUGGAAACGAUAGCUAAUACCGCAUAAGAGUAGAUGUCGCAUGACAUUUGCUUAAAAGGUGCAAUUGCAUCACUACCAGAUGGACCUGCGUUGUAUUAGCUAGUUGGUGAGGUAACGGCUCACCAAGGCAACGAUACAUAGCCGACCUGAGAGGGUGAUCGGCCACACUGGGACUGGGACACGGCCCAGACUCCUACGGGAGGCAGCAGUAGGGAAUCUUCGGCAAUGGACGGAAGUCUGACCGAGCAACGCCGCGUGAGUGAAGAAGGUUUUCGGAUCGUAAAGCUCUGUUGUAAGAGAAGAACGGGUGUGAGAGUGGAAAGUUCACACUGUGACGGUAUCUUACCAGAAAGGGACGGCUAACUACGUG